CUAGUAUAAGCACUUAUACCGUGAAACUGCGAAUGGCUCAUUAAAUCAGUUAUCGUUUAUUUGAUAGUACCUUACUACUUGGAUAACCGUGGUAAUUCUAGAGCUAAUACAUGCUAAAAACCCCGACUUCGGGAGGGGUGUAUUUAUUAGAUAAAAAACCAAUGCCCUUCGGGGCUCUUUGGUGAUUCAUGAUAACUUAACGGAUCGCAUGGCCUUGCGCCGGCGACGGUUCAUUCAAAUUUCUGCCCUAUCAACUUUCGAUGGUAAGGUAUUGGCUUACCAUGGUUUCAACGGGUAACGGGGAAUUAGGGUUCGAUUCCGGAGAGGGAGCCUGAGAAACGGCUACCACAUCCAAGGAAGGCAGCAGGCGCGCAAAUUACCCAAUCCCGACACGGGGAGGUAGUGACAAUAAAUACUGAUACAGGGCUCUUUUGGGUCUUGUAAUUGGAAUGAGUACAAUUUAAACCCCUUAACGAGGAACAAUUGGAGGGCAAGUCUGGUGCCAGCAGCCGCGGUAAUUCCAGCUCCAAUAGCGUAUAUUAAAGUUGUUGCAGUUAAAAAGCUCGUAGUUGAACCUUGGGCCUGGCUGGCCGGUCCGCCUCACCGCGUGCACUGGUCCGGCCGGGCCUUUCCUUCUGGAGAGCCCCAUGCCCUUCACUGGGUGUGCGGGGGAACCAGGACUUUUACUUUGAAAAAAUUAGAGUGUUCAAAGCAGGCCUUUGCUCGAAUACAUUAGCAUGGAAUAAUAAAAUAGGACGUGCGGUCCUAUUUUGUUGGUUUCUAGGACCGCCGUAAUGAUUAAUAGGGAUAGUCGGGGGCAUCCGUAUUCAAUUGUCAGAGGUGAAAUUCUUGGAUUUAUUGAAGACGAACUACUGCGAAAGCAUUUGCCAAGGAUGUUUUCAUUAAUCAGUGAACGAAAGUUAGGGGAUCGAAGACGAUCAGAUACCGUCGUAGUCUUAACCGUAAACUAUGCCGACUAGGGAUCGGGCGAUGUUACUAUUUUGACUCGCUCGGCACCUUACGAGAAAUCAAAGUUUUUGGGUCUGGGGGAGUA
rnacentral:rRNA from 1 species